rnacentral:rRNA from 1 species
AACGUAGGAGACAAACGUUAUCCGGAGUUACUGGGCGUAAAGGGCGUGCAGGCGGUUUUCUAAGUCUGGCGUGAAAUAUCACGGCUUAACCGAGAUAGGUCGUCGGAUACUGGGGAACUAGAGGACAGCAGAGGCGUGUGGAAUUCCGGGUGUAGUGGUGAAAUGCGUAGAGAUCCGGAGGAACACCAGUGGCGAAGGCGACACGCUGGGCUGUACCUGACGCUAAGACGCGACAGCAUGGGGAGCGAACGGG